AUUGAACGCUGGCGGCAUGCCUUACACAUGCAAGUCGAACGGCAGCACGGGAGCAAUCCUGGUGGCGAGUGGCGAACGGGUGAGUAAUAUAUCGGAACGUGCCCAGUCGUGGGGAUAACGUAGCGAAAGCUACGCUAAUACCGCAUACGAUCUACGGAUGAAAGCGGGGGAUCGCAAGACCUCGCGCGAUUGGAGCGGCCGAUAUCAGAUUAGGUAGUUGGUGAGGUAAAGGCUCACCAAGCCGACGAUCUGUAGCUGGUCUGAGAGGACGACCAGCCACACUGGGACUGAGACACGGCCCAGACUCCUACGGGAGGCAGCAGUGGGGAAUUUUGGACAAUGGGCGCAAGCCUGAUCCAGCAAUGCCGCGUGCAGGAUGAAGGCCUUCGG
rnacentral:rRNA from 1 species